rnacentral:rRNA from 1 species
GACGAACGCUGGCGGUAUGCUUAACACAUGCAAGUCGAACGGACUCUUCGGAGUUAGUGGCGGACGGGUUUGUAACCCGUGAGAAUCUGGCCUUGGGUUUGGGACAACCACUGGAAACGGUGGCCAAUACCGGACCUGCCGUGAGGCAAAAGAGAACGUGCCUGAAGAUGGGCUCGCGUCUGAUUAGCUAGUUGGUGGGGUAUAGGCUCACCACGGCAGCGAUCAGUAGCUGGUCUGAGAGGAUGACCAGCCAGACUGGGACUGAGACACGGCCAAGACAACUUCGCGAGACAGAAGAGAGUAAUUUUCCGCGAUGGGGGAAGGGCUGAGAGGGCAAUACCGCGGGAGGGAAGAAGGCUCUGGGGUUAUAAACCUCUGUUCUUAGGGAAGAGCAAAGUGACGGUACCUAAGGAGUCAGCAUCGGCUAACUCCGUG